GUACUAGUGGCACAAUGGGUUAGUGCACUGUAGUUGUAAGACAGUACAGAGCAAUGCUGAGGUUGUGAGUUCAAGCCUCACCUGGAACA